CACGUAGGCACCAAGCGUUGUCCGGAUUUAUUGGGCCUAAAGCAUCCGUAGCCGGUUUUACAAGUCCUCCGUUAAAUCCAGCUGCUUAACAGAUGGGCUGCGGAGGAUACUAUAAGACUAGGAGGCAGGAGAGGCAAGCGGUACUCAGUGGGUAGGGGUAAAAUCCGUUGAUCCAUUGAAGACCACCAGUGGCGAAGGCGGCUUGCCAGAAUGCGCUCGACGGUGAGGGAUGAAAGCUGGGGGAGCAAACCGG
rnacentral:rRNA from 1 species